GGAGAAUUACAGCAGUGUGCUUCCAGCAAGGACACUAACAACAAGAAUGGAGAAUUACAACAGUGUGCUUCCAGCAGGGACACUUACAACAAGAAUGGAGAAUUACAGCAGUGGCUAAGAGCUCAUAAUAGACAACCAAGAGGACGAGAAGAAGAAGGGGAACCAUAGGGAGGUACAGAAGAAAACACUUGUUCUUCAAGUGGAGAGGAGCCCAACCUGAACAAACCUUUUUUUUUUUUUUUCACCAGCCAAAAAGCUGGUGCUGCUGAGAGAAGGAGGAAGACAAAGGGAGAAACGCACAGAUAAACCAGAGUCUCAGAGUCUCAGAUUUAGUAACUUGCAGGCCAGGCCUCAUGUGUCUCCAAGAAGCCUAUUUUCCAAAACAUACGUGUGUUUGUUGUUGAAGG
rnacentral:lncRNA from 1 species